GCGCAUGCUUUCUUUUUAUAAAAAAAAAAUAAAUAGUACAUAAGAUUGGACAAAUCCGUUUAAAAAAUGGCUCUAAAUAUGUUAUACAAAAAAAUAAGUUCAAAAAAAUAAAUAAAAAUUUAAGAAUGUUAUAAUGUUGUAAUUAAAAUAUGUAAAUUGUUUAAAAAAAAAUGAUGUAUGUAUAAAACAUUUUUUUUAUUUUUAGAAUUGAAAGAAUUGUAACUUCACUUAUACGGGGACACAUUAACAUUAAGCAUAUAUCUAUUAUUAUGGAUGGAAAUAGAAGAUAUGCAAAAGAAAAAGGAAUCCAUUUGUCUCUAGGUCAUUAUAUGGGAUCCAAAACAUUAAUUCAAAUUAUAGAAAUAUGUAUUAGAUUAAACAUAAAGAUUUUAUCAGUAUUUUCACUGUCUUUGUUAAAUUAUAAUAGAAGCCCUGAGGAAAUACAUUUUUUAUUUUACUUAAAUAUUUUAGUUCUAAUAAAUGAAAAUUUUUUUUUCAAUUUUGUAAAAGAAAAUAAAAUACGUAUUAAAAUAAUUGGUAAUUUGUCAUAUGUUAACGAAAAUUAUAGGAAAAUUAUAUAUAAUAUAGAAGAAAGAACAAAGGGCUUUGACAACUUAACUUUGAACAUAUUUUUUUCGUACACUAGUAAAAAUGAAAUGAGCUUGUGCGAAUUUAAUCCCAACUUAUAUUAUGACACAUGCAAGGAAUUGUUACAAGAACGUAACAUUAAUUAUUCUUCAUCUCCUAUAGAAAAAAACCAAAACGACAACGAGUCUUCAAAAAAAAAUAAUAAUAAAUGA
rnacentral:lncRNA from 1 species